ACAAACUUGGUCAUUUAGAGGAAGUAAAAGUCGUAACAAGGUUUCCGUAGGUGAACCUGCGGAAGGAUCAUUACAUGGCGGAGAAGGUGGGCAACCUGGCCAACAUCCAGGUUGUGAUGCCUUCACGCUCUUCCACCCUUGUCUAUUUGCACCUUCUGUCGUUCCCUCGGCGGGUUUCGACCCGCCGGCGGCAACAUUGAAAAACCCUUUUUGCAGUUAGUAUUCUGAUCAAAUAUCAAAUCGUUACAACUUUCAACAAUGGAUCUCUUGGUUCUGGCAUCGAUGAAGAACGCAGC
rnacentral:misc_RNA from 1 species